UACGGAGGGUGCAAGCGUUAUCCGGAUUUACUGGGGUUAAAGGGUGCGUAGGUGGGUUGGUAAGUCAGUGGUGAAAUACUUUCGCUUAACGAAGGAACUGCCAUUGAUACUACCAGUCUUGAAUACAGUGGAGGUAGGCGGAAUGCGUCAUGUAGCGGUGAAAUGCUUAGAUAUGACGCAGAACACCAAUUGCGAAGGCAGCUUGCUACACUGUUAUUGACACUGAGGCACGAAAGCGUGGGGAUCAAACAGG
rnacentral:rRNA from 1 species